rnacentral:rRNA from 1 species
UACGAAGGGGGCUAGCGUUGCUCGGAAUCACUGGGCGUAAAGCGCACGUAGGCGGACUCUUAAGUCGGUGGUGAAAUCCUGGAGCUCAACUCCAGAACUGCCUUCGAUACUGGAGAGCUCGAGUCCGGGAGAGGUGAGUGGAACUGCGAGUGUAGAGGUGAAAUUCGUAGAUAUUCGCAAGAACACCAGUGGCGAAGGCGGCUCACUGGCCCGGUACUGACGCUGAGGUGCGAAAGCGUGGGGAGCAAACAGG